AAAAUAGGAAAAACGGCUAAGGAUACACCGUUCUGUCGUAACGCCGUUUUAAUCCGCAUCCUGCUGG
rfam:Virgibacillus soli strain PL205 scaffold000011, whole genome shotgun sequence.